UACACAAUUCCUCUGUACAUCUAACACAAACAAAAGGGUAUUUGGGAAUAUGAUUAUCAAGGUUCCAACUAAAGAACCUGUGGUGACUUUCCCAGAAGAUAUUGUCGAAGGUAUAUCAUAUUCAUUUACAUGUAAAAACCUCCAAAAGAAUCCGGAAGGUCAACUGUUGUGGCUGCAACAGACCCAAGCAGGAGAUAAUUUUACAGAAGUCAUCUUUCCCGCCGAUAAUAGAACCAGCUCGAAUGUAAAGGACUGUUACUACACACAACAUAGUGUAGUCAAGCACGUAUUUGAUAUGGGAUGGAACGCAACAUCGUUGCGUUGCGAUUCAAGUAAUCCAGCUGCCCAAUCAGUUUCUCAAGAAAUCUUGGUCAUUCCAAGUGACUAUUGUGCUUCAACUCCAGUCGGCCAGAAGAUAAACCAUCCGUAUAAUUGUAAUAAAUAUAUAACGUGUUCAACAGGUUUAAUACUUAUCAGUAAAUGUCCGGAUGCAUUAUGUUAUGAUCAAGUCACA